rnacentral:rRNA from 1 species
UAGGACUCUCGGCAAUGGAUAUCUUGGCUCUCGCAUCGAUGAAGAGCGCAGCGAAAUGCGAUACGUGGUGCGAAUUGCAGAAUCCCGUGAACCAUCGAGUUUUUGAACGCAAGUUGCGCCCGAGGCCAGCUGGCUGAGGGCACGUCCGCCUGGGCGUCAAGCAUUGAAUCGCUCC